GUGGGUAGUUUGACUGGGGCGGUCUCCUCCUAAAGAGUAACGGAGGAGCACGAAGGUUGGCUAAUCCUGGUCGGACAUCAGGAGGUUAGUGCAAUGGCAUAAGCCAGCUUGACUGCGAGCGUGACGGCGCGAGCAGGUGCGAAAGCAGGUCAUAGUGAUCCGGUGGUUCUGAAUGGAAGGGCCAUCGCUCAACGGAUAAAAGGUACUCCGGGGAUAACAGGCUGAUACCGCCCAAGAGUUCAUAUCGACGGCGGUGUUUGGCACCUCGAUGUCGGCUCAUCACAUCCUGGGGCUGAAGUAGGUCCCAAGGGUAUGGCUGUUCGCCAUUUAAAGUGGUACGCGAGCUGGGUUUAGAACGUCGUGAGACAGUUCGGUCCCUAUCUGCCGUGGGCGCUGGAGAACUGAGGGGGGCUGCUCCUAGUACGAGAGGACCGGAGUGGACGCAUCACUGGUGUUCGGGUUGUCAUGCCAAUGGCACUGCCCGGUAGCUAAAUGCGGAAGAGAUAAGUGCUGAAAGCAUCUAAGCACGAAACUUGCCCCGAGAUGAGUUCUCCCUGAGACUUAAAGUCUCCUGAAGGAACGUUGAAGACGACGACGUUGAUAGGCCGGGUG
rnacentral:rRNA from 1 species